CCUACGGGGGGCGGCAGUAGGGAAUCUUCCACAAUGGACGCAAGUCUGAUGGAGCAACGCCGCGUGAGUGAAGAAGGUUUUCGGAUCGUAAAGCUCUGUUGUUGGUGAAGAAGGAUAGAGGUAGUAACUGGCCUUUAUUUGACGGUAAUCAACCAGAAAGUCACGGCUAACUACGUGCCAGCAGCCGCGGUAAUACGUAGGUGGCAAGCGUUGUCCGGAUUUAUUGGGCGUAAAGCGAGCGCAGGCGGAUUGAUAAGUCUGAUGUGAAAGCCUUCGGCUCAACCGAAGAACUGCAUCAGAAACUGUCAAUCUUGAGUGCAGAAGAGGAGAGUGGAACUCCAUGUGUAGCGGUGGAAUGCGUAGAUAUAUGGAAGAACACCAGUGGCGAAGGCGGCUCUCUGGUCUGUAACUGACGCUGAGGCUCGAAAGCAUGGGUAGCGAACAGGAUUAGAUACCCUGGUAGUCCAUGCCGUAAACGAUGAGUGCUAAGUGUUGGGAGGUUUCCGCCUCUCAGUGCUGCAGCUAACGCAUUAAGCACUCUCGCCUGGGGAGUACGACCGCAAGGUUGAAACUCAAAGGAAUUGACG
rnacentral:rRNA from 1 species